AGGGGAGGGUCGUAGCUGACAGCGGUCCAGCUGCUCCCACAGCUUGAGAGACUGCCUUGCUGCAGGGACACAUCAGGCCACAAAGCAGGAAGAAGGGAGAGAAGACAGCCUUAACAUACACAGACUAUCUGCUAUAUGUUGGGCACUUACCUAUAUGGCUUUUAAACUACUGGCUUUUAACCUAUGGCUACUACAACCCCAUGAGGCUGCGGUGGGGAUGCUGAAGUAAGAUUCAAGAAGGAAGAAGGGAAGGGCAUGAUGGGAAUGAGAAGACGUGUUUUCUACUGGAAGGACCUCAGGGAGGCCAUGUGGUUGGAAACGUGCUGUCAAGAGAUGGUCAAGCACGGGGUCUGGAGGGAGACUACCCACAUCUGAUGGCCCACCAGUGCCUAUCUUUGAGAUUCUGGUUUACCGAUUCACUCCCUGGGCCCGUGCAUGUAUGUGUGCAUGUAUAUGUACAUGAUGAUGCACACACAAUCCCCAACCGUGAAAGAGGAGCAGUGAUAGUGCUCAUCUCCUGGUGUUACAGUGAAGAGUCAGUGAGACAGUGCAUGGCUAGUACGGCAGGCUUCCUGACACAUAACUCACACUGAUUAAAAUGACAGCUGUCUGGGGCACCUGUGUGGCUCGGGUGGUUAAGUGGCUGCCUUUGGCUCAGGUCAUGGUCCUGGAGUCCUGGGAUCAAGCCCCUCAACUCCCUGCUCAGCAGGAGUCUGCUUCUCCCUCUCCCUCUGCCUGCUGCUCCCCCCACAUGUGCUCUCUUUCUCUCUCUCUCUGU